rnacentral:other from 2 species
AUCUCCCUGCGGUGCUCGUGAAGGCGCAUAAAUUCCUUUGAACCAAUAUGUUCGCUUUGGCACUAGCCUCUGAGGAUGUGGGUGCGUCGCGUCCCUUGUGGAUGCGCCCGAAACAUCCGGCCGGUCGCCUCCCUGAUGUCUAGGGUUCAAGCGGAUUUUGCCCGAACGACACUCGCGGGGGGACC